GUGUCAGCAGCCGCGGUAAUACGGAGGUGGCGAGCGUUGUCCGGAAUUAUUGGGCGUAAAGGGCGCGUAGGCGGUUUUUUAAGUGGGAUGUGAAAUACCUAGGCUUAACUUAGGAAUGGCAUUCCAAACUGGAAGACUAGAGUGCAGGAGAGGAAAGUGGGAUUCCCAGUGUAGCGGUGGAAUGCGUAGAGAUUGGGAGGAACACUAGUGGCGAAGGCGACUUUCUGGACUGUAACUGACGCUGAAGCACGAAAGCGUGGGGAGCAAACAGGAUUAGAAACCCCCGUAGUCC
rnacentral:rRNA from 1 species